rnacentral:lncRNA from 1 species
AUUCAAACCCAGGUAAUGUCUUUGGGAACCAGCUGCCACCAGCAGAGACCACAGAGACCACAGUGUAACAGGGAGAAAAAUGCCCUACAAAGCCAAAUGCCGAAGUCAGAGAGCACAGAAGAAUGGAAUUAAACAGAGGGAUAGACUAGGAUCUCUGAGUGGAAGACUCAUGAACAUAGAUUUGGGCUCAAGAGAAUACGUUUUUAACAUCAGACGAUCCAACAACGAAUGUGCUGCCUAGUGGAAGUAAGUGAUCAAAGAGAAGUCCCAGGAACACUCAGAUGGUGUGCAAUUAUUGGCAUUCUAAUUUUCAUUAUUGUUGUAAUCAUUAUCUUGGUAGCAUUCCAUCAAGUAGAUGUGGACACUGAUUUGUAUUGAAACGGCCCCACCAAGGGAGUCCCAAUAAGUUCUCUUCAGUCAAACUUGAGUUUAAAGGCAGGUUCUAUCAUUUACCAGUUACAAAGC